rnacentral:rRNA from 1 species
UACGUAGGGAGCAAGCGUUGUCCGGAAUCACUGGGCUUAAAGAGUUCGUAGGCGGUCAGGAAAGUGGGGUGUGAAAGCCCUCGGCUUAACCGAGGAAUUGCGCUCCAAACUCCCUGACUUGAGGAGGCUAGAGGUAAGCGGAACUGAUGGUGGAGCGGUGAAAUGCGUUGAUAUCAUCAGGAACACCGGAGGCGAAGGCGGCUUACUGGGGCCUUUCUGACGCUGAGGAACGAAAGCUAGGGGAGCGAACGGG